UUCCGGUUGAUCCUGCCGGACCUGACUGCUAUCGGAUUGAUACUAAGCCAUGCGAGUCAUUGCAGCAAUGCAAGGCAGACGGCUCAGUAACGCGUAGUCAACCUAACCUAUGGACGGGAAUAACCUCGGGAAACUGAGUAUAAUGCCCGAUAGAACACUAUACCUGGAAUGGUUUGUGUUCCAAAUGAUUUAUCGCCGUAGGAUGGGACUGCGGCCUAUCAGUUUGUUGGUGAGGUAAUGGCCCACCAAGACUAUUACAGGUACGGGCUCUGAGAGGAGUAGCCCGGAGAUGGGUACUGAGACACGGACCCAGGCCCUAUGGGGCGCAGCAGGCGAGAAAACUUUGCAAUGUGCGAAAGCACGACAAGGUUAAUCCGAGUGGUUUCUGCUAAAGGAACCUUUUGUUAGUCCUAGAAACACUAACGAAUAAGGGGUGGGCAAGUUCUGGUGUCAGCCGCCGCGGUAAAACCAGCACCUCAAGUGGUCAGGAUGAUUAUUGGGCCUAAAGCAUCCGUAGCCGGCUCUGUAAGUUUUCGGUUAAAUCUGUACGCUCAACGUACAGGCUGCCGGGAAUACUGCAGAGCUAGGGAGUGGGAGAGGUAGACGGUACUCGGGAGGAAGUGGUAAAAUGCUUUGAUCUCUCGAUGACCACCUGUGGCGAAGGCGGUCUACCAGAACACGUCCGACGGUGAGGGAUGAAAGCUGGGGGAGCAAACCGGAUUAGAUACCCGGGUAGUCCCAGCUGUAAACUAUGCAAACUCAGUGAUGCAUUGGCUUGUGGCCAAUGCAGUAUUGCAGGGAAGCCGUUAAGUUUGCCGCCUGGGAAGUACGUACGCAAGUAUGAAACUUAAAGGAAUUGGCGGGGGAGCACCACAAGGGGUGAAGCCUGCGGUUCAAUUGGAGUCAACGCCGGA
rnacentral:rRNA from 2 species